UGGGGGAUAGUUUAACGGUAGAACUGUCGGCUCUGACCCGACCAGUCCUGGUUCGAAUCCAGGUCCCCCAGCCA
rnacentral:tRNA from 1 species